AGACCCGAAACCCGGUGAUCUAGCCAUGGGCAGGUUGAAGGUUGGGUAACACUAACUGGAGGACCGAACCGACUAAUGUUGAAAAAUUAGCGGAUGACCUGUGGCUGGGGGUGAAAGGCCAAUCAAACCGGGAGAUAGCUGGUUCUCCCCGAAAGCUAUUUAGGUAGCGCCUCGUGAAUUCAUCUCCGGGGGUAGAGCACUGUUUCGGCUAGGGGGCCAUCCCGGCUUACCAACCCGAUGCAAACUGCGAAUACCGGAGAAUGUUAUCACGGGAGACACACGGCGGGUGCUAACGUCCGUCGUGAAGAGGGAAACAACCCAGACCGCCAGCUAAGGUCCCAAAGUCAUGGUUAAGUGGGAAACGAUGUGGGAAGGCCCAGACAGCCAGGAUGUUGGCUUAGAAGCAGCCAUCAUUUAAAGAAAGCGUAAUAGCUCACUGGUCGAGUCGGCCUGCGCGGAAGAUGUAACGGGGCUAAACCAUGCACCGAAGCUGCGGCAGCGAACGUAUCACCCAAGACAACUUUACGGAGUUGACGAUUGACGGAGCGAAGCGACGUCAAAGCGUUCAUUAAAGUCGAGUUGGCUUAGGGAUACGUUCGUUGGGUAGGGGAGCGUUCUGUAAGCCUGUGAAGGUGUGUCGUGAGGCAUGCUGGAGGUAUCAGAAGUGCGAAUGCUGACAUAAGUAACGAUAAAGCGGGUGAAAAGCCCGCUCGCCGGAAGACCAAGGGUUCCUGUCCAACGUUAAUCGGGGCAGGGUGAGUCGACCCCUAAGGCGAGGCCGAAAGGCGUAGUCGAUGGGAAACGGGUUAAUAUUCCCGUACUUGGUGUUACUGCGAAGGGGGGACGGAGAAGGCUAUGUUGGCCGGGCGACGGUUGUCCCGGUUUAAGCGUGUAGGUGUGUGUUCCAGGUAAAUCCGGUUCACUUUAACACUGAGGCGUGACGACGAGGCACUACGGUGCUGAAGCAACAAAUGCCCUGCUUCCAGGAAAAGCCUCUAAGCAUCAGGUAACACGAAAUCGUACCCCAAACCGACACAGGUGGUCAGGUAGAGAAUACCAAGGCGCUUGAGAGAACUCGGGUGAAGGAACUAGGCAAAAUGGUGCCGUAACUUCGGGAGAAGGCACGCUGACACGUAGGUGAAGUGAUUUACUCAUGGAGCUGAAGUCAGUCGAAGAUACCAGCUGGCUGCAACUGUUUAUUAAAAACACAGCACUGUGCAAACACGAAAGUGGACGUAUACGGUGUGACGCCUGCCCGGUGCCGGAAGGUUAAUUGAUGGGGUCAGCGUAAGCGAAGCUCCUGAUCGAAGCCCCGGUAAACGGCGGCCGUAACUAUAACGGUCCUAAGGUAGCGAAAUUCCUUGUCGGGUAAGUUCCGACCUGCACGAAUGGCGUAAUGAUGGCCAGGCUGUCUCCACCCGAGACUCAGUGAAAUUGAACUCGCUGUGAAGAUGCAGUGUACCCGCGGCAAGACGGAAAGACCCCGUGAACCUUUACUAUAGCUUGACACUGAACAUUGAGCCUUGAUGUGUAGGAUAGGUGGGAGGCUUUGAAGUGUGGACGCCAGUCUGCAUGGAGCCGACCUUGAAAUACCACCCUUUAAUGUUUGAUGUUCUAACGUGGACCCGUAAUCCGGGUUGCGGACAGUGUCUGGUGGGUAGUUUGACUGGGGCGGUCUCCUCCUAAAGAGUAACGGAGGAGCACGAAGGUUGGCUAAUCCUGGUCGGACAUCAGGAGGUUAGUGCAAUGGCAUAAGCCAGCUUGACUGCGAGCGUGACGGCGCGAGCAGGUGCGAAAGCAGGUCAUAGUGAUCCGGUGGUUCUGAAUGGAAGGGCCAUCGCUCAACGGAUAAAAGGUACUCCGGGGAUAACAGGCUGAUACCGCCCAAGAGUUCAUAUCGACGGCGGUGUUUGGCACCUCGAUGUCGGCUCAUCACAUCCUGGGGCUGAAGUAGGUCCCAAGGGUAUGGCUGUUCGCCAUUUAAAGUGGUACGCGAGCUGGGUUUAGAACGUCGUGAGACAGUUCGGUCCCUAUCUGCCGUGGGCGCUGGAGAACUGAGGGGGGCUGCUCCUAGUACGAGAGGACCGGAGUGGACGCAUCACUGGUGUUCGGGUUGUCAUGCCAAUGGCACUGCCCGGUAGCUAAAUGCGGAAGAGAUAAGUGCUGAAAGCAUCUAAGCACGAAACUUGCCCCGAGAUGAGUUCUCCCUGAGACUUAGAGUCUCCUGAAGGAACGUUGAAGACGACGACGUUGAUAGGCCGGGUGUGUAAGCGCAGCGAUGCGUUGAGCUAACCGG
rnacentral:rRNA from 1 species